rnacentral:rRNA from 1 species
CCUACGGGUGGCAGCAGUGGGGAAUAUUGCACAAUGGGGGAAACCCUGAUGCAGCAACGCCGCGUGAGUGAAGAAGUAUUUCGGUAUGUAAAGCUCUAUCAUCAGGGAAGAAGAAAGACGGUACCUGACUAAGAAGCCCCGGCUAACUACGUGCCAGCAGCCGCGGUCAUACGUAGGGGGCAAGCGUUAUCCGGCUUUACUGGGUGUAAGGGGAGGGUUGGCGGCUGGGAAAGUCUGAGGUGAAAGCCCGUGGCGCAACGGCGGAACUGCUUUGGAAAGGGUAUAGCUUGAGUACUGGAGGGGCAGGAGGAAUUGCUAGUGUAGCGGUGAAAUGCGUAGAUAUUAGGAGGAACACCAGUUGCGAAGGCAGCCUGCGAGACAGAAACUGACGUUGAGGCACGAAAGCGUGGGGAGCAAACAGGAUUAGAUACCCGUGUAGUC